rnacentral:rRNA from 1 species
GUGGGGAAUCUUAGACAAUGGGCGCAAGCCUGAUCUAGCCAUGCCGCGUGAGUGAUGAAGGCCUUCGGGUUGUAAAGCUCUUUAGCCGAUGAUUAUAAUGACUGUAGUCGGAAAAUAAGCCCCGGCUAACUUCGUGCCAGCAGCCGCGGUAAUACGAAGGGGGCGAGCGUUAUUCGGAAUCACUGGGCGUAAAGCGUGCGUAGGCGGCUUUGCAAGUUGGGAGUGAAAGCCCAGGGCUCAACCCUGGAAUUGCUCUCAAAACUGCAAGGCUCGAAUUCGGGAGAGGAUAGCGGAAUUGUCAGUGUAGCAGUGAAAUGCGUAGAUAUUGACAGGAACACCAGUGGCGUAAGCGGCUAUCUGGACCGAUAUUGACGCUGAGGCACGAAAGCGUGGGGAUCAAACAGGAUUAGAAACCCUUGUAGUCC